rnacentral:rRNA from 1 species
AAUGCUUAGGAAUCUGCCUAUUAGUGGGGGACAACAUUCCGAAAGGAAUGCUAAUACCGCAUACGCCCUACGGGGGAAAGCAGGGGAUCUUCGGACCUUGCGCUAAUAGAUGAGCCUAAGUCAGAUUAGCUAGUUGGUGGGGUAAAGGCCUACCAAGGCGACGAUCUGUAGCGGGUCUGAGAGGAUGAUCCGCCACACUGGGACUGAGACACGGCCCAGACUCCUACGGGAGGCAGCAGUGGGGAAUAUUGGACAAUGGGCGAAAGCCUGAUCCAGCCAUGCCGCGUGUGUGAAGAAGGUCUUCGGAUUGUAAAGCACUUUAAGUUGGGAGGAAGGGUAGUAACCUAAUACGUUGCUACUUUGACGUUACCGACAGAAUAAGCACCGGCUAACUUCGUGCCAGCAGCCGCGGUAAUACGAAGGGUGCAAGCGUUAAUCGGAAUUACUGGGCGUAAAGCGCGCGUAGGUGGUUCAGCAAGUUGGAUGUGAAAGCCCUGGGCUCAACCUGGGAACUGCAUCCAAAACUACUGAGCUAGAGUACGGUAGAGGGUAGUGGAAUUUCCUGUGUAGCGGUGAAAUGCGUAGAGAUCUGGAGG